CCUCUAUAUACAUAUGCAGAAUAAGUUUAUAAAUGAGUCAGGGUAAGACAUUGAUAGAACAAUUAUGAUAUACUGUGAUAAAAGUUAUGUAAAUGGGCUCGCUCUCAAAAGCUCUUAUUUUACAGUCCUCCCCUUGUUACAAUGGGAGAUAAAAGGCCCAUGUGCGGAGAUGAAGGGAGGUGCAUGAAGUAGGCACCGUCAGGCUGCCAUUCGGAGGAUUCAUGGAGGGGGGGGUCUCCGGGUCCAGAUCGCAGAUGACUGUGGGCGGGGGGUGGGGGGGGCCAAACUGCAGAAUGUGAAACCCCGGCUGGGCGGGGACAACCAUACGUGCUGCUCGGUGCCUGAAUAAUUUAAGUCCAUGUGAAGGUCUCUUACUUCCCUAGUUCUGACCUUUCAUUUCCUCCCACCCACCUAUCCUCCUCCUCCUCCUCCUCCUCCUCCUCCUCCUCCUCCUCUUCCUCCACCACCACCACCACCCAGACUCACUUCUCACAUUCUGAGCCUCCAGCCUUUUCUCUCCUGCACAGUCUGAUCGCCAGGACUUAUGUAGAAGCUGGUGGAGGACCGGGACUCAAGAACCCUGUGCCCCUAGGAAUCAAGAUCCCCCAGCCUCAGAGGUGCUCCGGGAGUUCCGUACGAAGCCGUCUACCAAGAAGGAAGGAACUGGGAGGGCGUGCGGUCCCCUGCCUCUACCCGGAGUGCCGCAUAGGGUUUGUCCUGUAUUUCACCUGGUUAAAAAAAAAAAAAAAAAAAAAAGUACUAAGACUUACAAGUUUGAGAACAUCUUUCACUCUAGUUUUCUGAUUUUACUGAUGAAUAAACAGAGGCCAGAGGAGACAGGACUAAAGUAGAAAGUUCCUUGUGAUCUGCAGAGCAAGACCAUAUAAGCAAAACCUUAUGAAGAUUAUAAGUGGCCUUGGAUUAGAGCUGGUGUCAUAGACCUCCGGAGCCUUCAUUUGGUGGGUAAGCAAAGAUCUCUCGGGGUCCUGGUCUCCGUCUGUGAACGUGCUGCCCCUUGAAGCAGCCAGAUUCUGGAUGCACUGCUGCGGAGCACCUUGGAGGCUCCCCAGGGCUCCAGCUUCUUAAGGAGGUCAACAAAUCCCCGUACUAGGGAAGGACUAAAAUUGACACAGGCGUCUAUCCACAGACGAUGGAAUAUUUUAUAAUAAAAAAAAGUUCGAGGAUAUAAAGACCUUCUUGCAAAGGUAAGGACUGAUGCUCUGGGCCUCGACUGGCCCCCACCCUCACCCUGCCCUCCAACCCCAGCCGGGACCUGGGCACAGGGACCUGGAGGGGAUCUCCAGGUGAACGGACUUCCCCGCCCCCAGCCGGGCUUCAGGCUGUGGAUCCGGCAGCGUGUACACUCACGAGCCGAGUCAUAGUUCAGAACCCCUGGGGGUCAGGGUGAGUCCACACCGCGCCACGAGUCCUGCUGCGUCCACAGAAGUGAGAUCAGCUCCAGAACAAAGAACCAAGACGAAGACAACAGAAGGGAAGCGUUUUCUAUUUUAGUACCUUUAACAGCACUUCUUUCCUGUUAACAGACCCCGCGUUCAGAUACGUGCUCAACUAGGUCCCCCACGACUUCCAUGCUGAAGCCCUGAACCCCAGUACCUUCAGGCUGGGACCUUACAUGGUCUUUAAACAGGUGAUUAAAAUCAGGUCUCCAAGGUGAGUACUACCCCAGUAUGACUGGCAGUUUUGAGGGGACACUGGAGGGGCAUCUGGGGAGUCAGGGCGUGACCCCAGGGUCCUGGGAUCGAGUCCCUCAUCGGGCUCCCUGCAUGGAAUCUGCCUCUCCCUCUGCCUGGGUCUCUACCUUUCUCUGUGUCUCUCGUGAAUAAAAAUAUUUUUUAAAAAAGGGGAUCCCUGGGUGGCUCAGUGGUUGGGCGCCUGCCUUCAGCCCAGGGCAUGACCCCGGGGUCUUGGGACCAAGUCCCGCGUCGGGCUCUGCACGGAGCCUGCCUCUCCCUCUCUGUCUCUCAUCAAUAAGAAGAAUCUAAAAAAAAAAAAAAAAAGAAAGAAAAGGACACUGGACAAAGAGACCUCAGGGGUACCUACGCUCAGAAGACUGGCCACGUGAGGACAAAAGGACAGAGAAGGCAACCACCUGCAAGCCCAGGAGACCGGCCCUGAUAGAAACCCACCCUGCUCACACUUGAACCCCAGAUCCCAGUCUGCAGCGUCGUGGGGAAACAAUCUGCCGUCCAAGCCACCCAGCCGGGGGUACUUUGUCGUGGCGGCCCUUGCAAACUGACCCAGGGCCCCAUAUUUUCACUUUGCACCAGGCCCUGAAGGUUACGUAACCAGUUCUGACCUCUGCGUGGAUAAAGGAGACCCGGCUUCAGGAGGAUUUUAACCCAGAACCAUAUAGGGAAGGAGGUUGGGACAACCGUGCUGGCCCGCUUCUCCACGCAGGCAAGCAGGGAGGUCCCUGGAAAGGCGAGGACGUGCCCGUCUGCGCCACGGCAGCCGUGCUCGUGGGGUGCUGACGGAGCCUCUGACACUUCCCUGCACGCGGGCGCGUGUACGCCAGCAGACCGCGUAGACACCUGUAUCUUGUACCUGUAGUUCAAGGUGCAGCAUCUGGCAAAGAACCUGAACAUCCCGGAACCUCGUCCUAAGGGUCCUUAAUGGAGAUGCAUUUGGAUUUCCCAAUUGAGUCUUACCAAAAAAAUUUAAAAAAAGAAAAGAAAGAAAGAAAAAAAGAAAAAGGAAAGCAGUCGCCUUGCUCGAAGACCAGGGACCUUGCAAACUACACGGGACUUGACACAGAGGUGCCUCGUCACCCGGGGGGAUGACGCAGCCGCGACUCCCUGGCCACGGAUGCGCCUUCGUUCCUUUCAGUUCACACCGCUCAGCGUUGCGGCCUGGCUAAGGCUGCGCGUCGUCCGGCCGCGCUGGGAGCCCACUUUCCGUCACAGCCGCCGGCCCUGCGUCAGAAAGCAAACGUGCUUGCCGCUUCAGGACGAGAACACGCGGUAGGACUUCAAAAAAAAAAUUCUGUCUAAAGUCAUCGUCCUACUAAAACCAUAAAACCAAGAUAAUACCUAAGGCCCUGGUAGGAAAAGGGUAGGGGACCUUUCACUGCCCUUAGGGCCUUGUCCCCCAGCAGUGGUCACGCCCGGAUAACCCUCGCGGCCAGGACACGGUCACCGCGCAAAGACCCUUUGUAUCUUCGAUUUGAGUCGCCUAAAAUGUAUUCCCGGAUUAAAAAUAGAUUUUUAGGGCAGCCCGGGGGGCUCAGCGGUUUAGCACCGCCUUCAGCCCAGGGCGUGAUCCUAGAGUCCCGGGGUCGAGUCCUGCCUCGGGCUCCCUGCAUGGAGCCUGCUUCUCCCUCUUCCUGGGUCUCUGCCCCCCACCUCUCUGAUGAAUAAAUAAAUAAAAUAUUUUUAAAAAAGAGAUUUUCAAAAAGUCCUAGUUUCAAAGUCUGCCUUCAAUUUUUUAGUAUCAGACUCUUAAAAAAAA
rnacentral:lncRNA from 1 species